rnacentral:lncRNA from 1 species
AACAAUAUAUACAUAUUCAUUAUAUCUAUUGUAUUUUAUAGUAAGGUUUUUUUAGUAGUUUAAAAAAUUAAAAUCAUCAAAAUAACUUUUUUCUUACCGUGUCGAAACAGGUUACUUGCGUGUCACUCUCGUGUAAACUUGUUGAGGACCCGUUAUUAUCGUGUGACCUGAUAAUGACCCGAUUAGUUAUCUUGUUCACCCGAAACCCGUUAUUUUCAUGUCGUUUACGUGUCGUGUUAACAAGUCGUGUAAGAAAUUGCUAGGUCUAUUGGUAGUACUCCUCGAUUUCGUCCGUAUUUAGUAAUGCACUUUUGAAGAUAGGCUUCGGUUCCUCGCUUAUGCUUAAGUUGAGCUCCUUGAGAUCAUCAAAUGUAGCUUACCCCUCAUCCUCGAGCUGUGGUGGCGCAACAGUGACGUCUUCUUCAGGGACUUCGUCUUCUUCAUCUUCUUGGAUUAUGAUGUGGAAGACGUCUUGGACCUUCUCUUCAGUGACAUUCUCUUAGGCUUGUU